GUUAAGCAUCCCGCCUGUGGAGUACGGUCGCAAGACUAAAACAUAAAGGAAUUGACGGGGACCCGCACAAGCGGUGGAGCGUGUUGUUUAAUUCGAUGGUAAGCGAAGAACCUUACCCAGGCUUGACAUCCUUGGAAGCUUUCCGAAAGGAAAGUGUGCUUUAUUGAGCCAAGUGACAGGUGAUGCAUGGCCGUCGUCAGCUCGUGUCGUGAGAUGUUUGGUUAAGUCCAUCAACGAGCGCAACCCUUGUGAUUAGUUGAAUUUUUCUAAUCAGACUGCCCUGGUAACAGGGGGGAAGGAGGGGAUGAUGUCAGGUCAGUAUUUCCCUUACGUCUGGGGCUACAAACACGCUACAAUGGCCGGUACAAAGGGCAGCCAAGUCGCAAGACGGAGCAAAUCCCAUCAAAGCCGGUCCCAGUUCGGAUAGCAGGCUGAAACUCGCCUGCUUGAAGUCGGAAUCGCUAGUAACGGUAGGUCAGCUAUACUACCGUGAAUACGUUCCCGGGUCUUGAACACACCGCCCGUC
rnacentral:rRNA from 1 species